AGGAUCAACGCUGGCGGCGUGCCUAAAACAUGCAAGUCGGACGGCCACCUUCGGGUGGCAGUGGCGGACGGCUGAGUAAGACGUGGGUGACCUGCCACCUGGUGGGGGAUAACCCCUCGAAAGGGGGGCUAAGACCGCAUGAGGUCCUCGGUUCGUACUGGGGAGGAAAGCCGCAAGGCGCCAGGUGAGGGGCCCGCGGCCGAUUAGCUUGGCUGGUGGGGUAAUGGCUUACCAGGGCUGUGAUCGGUAGC
rnacentral:rRNA from 1 species